rnacentral:rRNA from 1 species
UACGUAGGGGGCAAGCGUUGUUCGGAAUUACUGGGCGUAAAGGGCGCGUAGGCGGCACGGCAAGUCAGGAGUGAAAGCCCUGGGCUCAACCCGGGAACUGCUUUUGAAACUGCCGAGCUAGAGUGCGGAAGGGGCAACUGGAAUUCCCAGUGUAGCGGUGAAAUGCGUAGAUAUUCGGAGGAACACCAGUGGCGAAGGCGGCUCACUGGUCCGGUACUGACGCUGAGGUGCGAAAGCGUGGGGAGCAAACAGG